rnacentral:rRNA from 1 species
CGUAGGGUGCGAGCGUUGUCCGGAAUUAUUGGGCGUAAAGGGCUCGUAGGCGGUCCGUCACGUCGGGAGUGAAAACUCGGGGCUCAACCCCGAGCCUGCUUUCGAUACGGGCGGACUAGAGGUAGGUAGGGGAGAACGGAAUUCCUGGUGUAGCGGUGGUAUGCGCGGAUAUCAGGAGGAACACCGGUGGCGAAGGCGGUUCUCUGGGCCUUACCUGACGCUGAGGAGCGAAAGCGUGGGGAGCGAACAGGAUUAGAUACCCUGGUAGUCCACGCCGUAAACGUUGGGCGCUAGGUGUGGGACUCAUUCCACGAGUUCCGUGCCGCAGCUAACGCAUUAAGCGCCCCGCCUGGGGAGUACGGCCGCAAGGCUA